GAGUUUGAUCAUGGCUCAGGACGAACGCUGGCGGCGUGCUUAACACAUGCAAGUCGAGGGCAUUUUGGGGGCAACCCUGGAGUGACCGGCGAACGGGUGCGUAACACGUGAGCGACCUUGCCUCGUGGUGGGGGAUAGCCGGCCCAACGGCCGGGUAAUACCGCAUAGGGUGGUUUCUUCGCAUGGGGAGACCAGCAAAGCUUCGGGGCAACUCGAGGCGCCACAGGGGGGGCUCGCGGCCUAUCAGCUAGUUGGGGGGGUAAUGGCCCACCAAGGCGACGACGGGUAGCUGGUCUGAGAGGAUGGCCAGCCACAUUGGGACUGAGAAACGGCCCAGACUCCUACGGGAGGCAGCAGUGGGGAAUCUUGCGCAAUGGCCGAAAGGCUGACGCAGCGACGCCGCGUGUGGGAGGACGCCCUUCGGGGUGUAAACCACUGUUGCCCGGGACGAACAGCGCUUUUCGAGGCGCCUGACGGUACCGGGUGAGGAAGCACCGGCUAACUCCGUGCCAGCAGCCGCGGUAAUGCCCAAUCGCCC
rnacentral:rRNA from 1 species